UCUGGGUUAACACUGACGCUGAGGUGCGAAGGCGUGGGGAGCAAACAGGAUUAGAUACCCUGGUAGUCCACGCGGUAAACGAUGAGAACUAGACGCUGGAGGGGUAACCGUUCAGUGUCGGAGCUAACGCAUUAAGUUCUCCGCCUGGGGAGUACGGCCGCAAGGUUG
rnacentral:rRNA from 1 species